rnacentral:rRNA from 1 species
ACAUACGCAUCCUUUGCUGAAGGCAAUGGUUAACGGAGCGAAAGCGACGUUCAACCGCAAAACAAGCAGAGGGGGCUUAGUGGUGGGGUGACUGCGUACCUUUUGUAUAAUGGGUCAGCGACUUAUAUUCUGUAGCAAGGUUAACCGUAUAGGGGAGCCGGAGGGAAACCGAGUCUUAAUUGGGCGUUAAGUUGCAGGGUAUAGACCCGAAACCCGGUGAUCUAGCCAUGGGCAGGUUGAAGGUUGGGUAACACUAACUGGAGGACCGAACCGACUAAUGUUGAAAAAUUAGCGGAUGACCUGUGGCUGGGGGUGAAAGGCCAAUCAAACCGGGAGAUAGCUGGUUCUCCCCGAAAGCUAUUUAGGUAGCGCCUCGUGAAUUCAUCUCCGGGGGUAGAGCACUGUUUCGGCUAGGGGGCCAUCCCGGCUUACCAACCCGAUGCAAACUGCGAAUACCGGAGAAUGUUAUCACGGGAGACACACGGCGGGUGCUAACGUCCGUCGUGAAGAGGGAAACAACCCAGACCGCCAGCUAAGGUCCCAAAGUCAUGGUUAAGUGGGAAACGAUGUGGGAAGGCCCAGACAGCCAGGAUGUUGGCUUAGAAGCAGCCAUCAUUUAAAGAAAGCGUAAUAGCUCACUGGUCGAGUCGGCCUGCGCGGAAGAUGUAACGGGGCUAAACCAUGCACCGAAGCUGCGGCAGCGAACGUAUCACUUAAAGCGAUUCAGCGGGUUACGAUUGACGGAGCGAAGCGACGUCAAAGCGUAUACAAAGUCGAGUCGGUUUAAGGAUACGUUCGUUGGGUAGGGGAGCGUUCUGUAAGCCUGCGAAGGUGGCCUGUGAGGGUUGCUGGAGGUAUCAGAAGUGCGAAUGCUGACAUAAGUAACGAUAAAGCGGGUGAAAAGCCCGCUCGCCGGAAGACCAAGGGUUCCUGUCCAACGUUAAUCGGGGCAGGGUGAGUCGACCCCUAAGGCGAGGCCGAAAGGCGUAGUCGAUGGGAAACGGGUUAAUAUUCCCGUACUUGGUGUUACUGCGAAGGGGGGACGGAGAAGGCUAUGUUGGCCGGGCGACGGUUGUCCCGGUUUAAGCGUGUAGGCUGGUUUUCCAGGCAAAUCCGGAAAAUCAAGGCUGAGGCGUGACGACGAGGCACUACGGUGCUGAAGCAACAAAUGCCCUGCUUCCAGGAAAAGCCUCUAAGCAUCAGGUAACACGAAAUCGUACCCCAAACCGACACAGGUGGUCAGGUAGAGAAUACCAAGGCGCUUGAGAGAACUCGGGUGAAGGAACUAGGCAAAAUGGUGCCGUAACUUCGGGAGAAGGCACG